rnacentral:misc_RNA from 1 species
AAAAAAUCACUAAUGUGUAGACAUUUUUAGAACACAACUACAAGCAACAGUGAGAGAAUCGCUAUAUAAGAACUAAUGAACUUCCUGUAAGCAUUAUUGGGGAGCCUUGGGUAAUCAUCUGGUGGGGGCAUGACACAUUCAUCACCAUUAAAUGAAAUUUUUCUUGGGAAAGCCCAUCCUUCUCUGAAAGUGAAAAUCCCUGGAUCUUUGCGUAGUAACAUUUCAGUUUGUACAUUUCCA